rnacentral:rRNA from 1 species
ACAUAUCAUAGCGGAAGAAAGAAACCACAGGAUUGCCUCAGUAACGGCGAGUGAAGCGGCAAGAGCUCAAAUUUGAAAGCUGGCUCCUUCGGGGUCCGCAUUGUAUUUUGCAGAGGAUGCUUCGGGAGCAGCCCCCAUCUAAGUGCCCUGGAACGGGCCGUCAUAGAGGGUGAAAAUCCCGUAUGGGAUGGGGUGUCUGCGCCCAUGUGAAGCUCCUUCGACGAGUCGAGUUGUUUGGGAAUGCAGCUCUAAAUGGGUGGUAAAUUUCAUCUAAAGCUAAAUAUUGGCCGGAGACCGAUAGCGCACAAGUAGAGUGAUCGAAAGAUGAAAAGCACUUUGAAAAGAGAGUUAAAAAGCACGUGAAAUUGUUGAAAGGGAAGCGCUUGCGAUCAGACUCGCCUUGGGGGUUCAGCCGGCAUUCGUGCCGGUGUACUUCCCCCAGGGCGGGCCAGCGUCGGUUUGGGUGGCCGGUCAAAGGCCCUUGGAAUGUAACGCCUCUCGGGGCGUCUUAUAGCCAAGGGUGCCAUGCGGCCUACCUGGACCGAGGAACGCGCUUCGGCUCGGACGCUGGCAUAAUGGUCGUAAGCGACCCGUCUUGAAACACGGACCAAGGAGUCUAACAUCUACGCGAGUGUUCGGGUGUCAAACCCGUGCGCGCAGUGAAAGCGAACGGAGGUGGGAACCCUUUGGGUGCACCAUCGACCGAUCCUGAUGUCUUCGGAUGGAUUUGAGUAAGAGCGUAGCUGUUGGGACCGAAAGAUGGUGAACUAUGCCUGAAUAGGCGAAGCCAGAGAAACUCUGGUGGAGGCUCGCAGCGGUUCUGACGUGCAAAUCGAUCGUCGAAUUUGGUAUAGGGCGAAAGACUAUCGACAUCUAGUAGUGGUCUGCG